AUGUUCAAAGCUUUGGGAGCUAGAGGACAUUUAUUUUCUCUUUUUGUAAUUUCUUUAGUUGAAGGUGCUUAGAGGGAAACAUUAGAAUCCUCUUUUGUUUUAGCAUCUUUUAGGCUUUAGUUAGGAGCUUUAGGGGGGUGUAUUAGUAGAUAGGUGUAGGAGUAGAAUAGGAGGUGCCAAAGUGAAGGAAAGAGUCACACCUUCCUCAUGCAUGGAAUAGGCGCCGGUUCUAGAAUGUUUUGGGAGGGUAUUUUGAAAUUGUUUAGCUUGCAUUUUCAGCACCUUAGGCUAUAAAUAGAGGUGCUCUCUUUGUAAAAUUGAGAUUGGAAUUAAUCUAAGAAAACUCUACUCAAAUUUUGAGUGAACUUUGGAGAGCUUUGAGCCUUCUUCUCUAGUCUUAUCUUGAUGGAUCAAUGGAGUCCUCAAGUGGCGGCAUCACUCUCUUCUAG
rnacentral:lncRNA from 1 species